rnacentral:lncRNA from 1 species
CAGGAGUGCCUGGAUCAGGUGCAAGUACGGGGAAUAUUGGAGAAAAAGGCCCCAAAGGAGAUAAGGGGCAAGAAGGUUUGCUGGGCCAGGUCGGUGUGAUUGGCCUUGCAGGAGCAAUUGGAGCCAGAGGACGAACCGGAGAAGCUGGUCUCCAAGGUCUACUUGGUUUAGACGGUCCUGAGGGAGAGAAGGUACUGAAAAGAAAUUAUCUAAUGUGAAAUAACCUUCCCUAUUGUAAUAGUGCACCAUGGGUGAUGGGAA